rnacentral:tRNA from 1 species
GAUAAGGUGGCUGAAUUUUAGGUUAUAAAUUGUAAAUUUAUAUAUGAGUUAAAACUCCUUUGUCA